UGAGUGGCGAACGGGUGAGUAAUACGUGAGUAACCUGCCCUUGACUCUGGGAUAAGCCUGGGAAACUGGGUCUAAUACUGGAUACUACAUACCUUCGCAUGGGUGUGUGGAAAGGGUUUUACUGGUUUUGGAUGGGCUCACGGCCUAUCAGCUUGUUGGUGGGGUAAUGGCCUACCAAGGCGACGACGGGUAGCCGGCCUGAGAGGGCGACCGGCCACACUGGGACUGAGACACGGCCCAGACUCCUACGGGAGGCAGCAGUGGGAAUAUUGCACAAUGGGCGAAAGCCUGAUGCAGCGACGCCGCGUGAGGGAUGACGGCCUUCGGGUUGUAAACCUCUUUCAGCACGGAAGAAGCGAAAGUGACGGUACGUGCAGAAGAAGCGCCGGCUAACUACGUGCCAGCAGCCGCGGUAAUACGUAGGGCGCAAGCGUUGUCCGGAAUUAUUGGGCGUAAAGAGCUCGUAGGCGGUUUGUCGCGUCUGCUGUGAAAGCCCGGGGCUUAACCCCGUGGUGUGCAGUGGGUACGGGCAGACUAGAGUGCAGUAGGGGAGACUGGAAUUCCUGGUGUAGCGGUGAAAUGCGCAGAUAUCAGGAGGAACACCGAUGGCGAAGGCAGGUCUCUGGGCUGUUACUGACGCUGAGGAGCGAAAGCAUGGGGAGCGAACAGGAUUAGAUACCCUGGUAGUCCAUGCCGUAAACGUUGGGCACUAGGUGUGGGGGACAUUCCACGUUUUCCGCGCCGUAGCUAACGCAUUAAGUGCCCCGCCUGGGGGAGUACGGCCGCAAGGCUAAAACUCA
rnacentral:rRNA from 1 species